AGGAUGAGACUGCGUCCGAUUAGGUAGUUGGUGGGGUAACGGCCCACCAAGCCUGUCAUCGGUACGGGUUGUGGGAGCAAGAUCCCGGAGAUGGAUUCUGAGACAUGAAUCCAGGCCCUACGGGGCGCAGCAGGCGCGCAAACUUUACAAUGCGAGCAAUCGUGAUAAGGAAACCCUGAGUGCCUGUCGAUGCAGGCUGUUCAUAUAUUUAAAUUGUAUGUGAAGAAAGGGCAGGGCAAGACCGGUGCCAGCCGCCGCGGUAAUACCGGCUGCUCGAGUGAUGGCCACUAUUACUGGGUUUAAAGCGUCCGUAGCUUGAUUUUUAGGUCUCUUGGGAAAUCUUUUGGCUUAACCACAAGGCGUCUAAGAGAUACCGGAAAUCUUGGAACUGGGAGAGGUAAGCCGUACUUCGGGGGUAGGAGUGAAAUCUUGUAAUCCUCGAGGGACGACCUAUGGCGAAGGCAGCUUACCAGAACAGCUUCGACAGUGAGGGACGAAAGCUGGGGGAGCAAACGGGAUUAGAUACCCCGGUAGUCCCAGCCGUAAACAAUGUGCGUUAGGUGUGUCGGUUACCACGCGUAACUGAUGCGCCGAAGAGAAAUCGUGAAACGCACCACCUGGGAAGUACGGUCGCAAGGCUGAAACUUAAAGGAAUUGGCGGGGGAGCACCACAACAGGUGGAGCCUGCGGUUUAAUUGGAUU
rnacentral:rRNA from 1 species